rnacentral:misc_RNA from 1 species
UAUUUCUUGAAAACUCAAAAGAACUAAAAAGAAUAUAUCAAAAGGAGAUCGAAGAUAUGGCGCCUGCCGCAAUUUCUUGGUACAGUUUCACACAGGAGGAGAAAAAUGAUCUGGAACAUUCUUGGAAUCUUGUCGAAGGAAAGAAGAAUCACAUUGCUUGCGAUAUAUACGAAAUGAUUUUUAAUCAGUGUCCGGAAGCGCGUCGACUUUUUCCGAAACUGAAGUUUGUUGGUUCGAAACCUGAUAGGAAAAACAACGAAUUUGCAUUUCAAGCAAUGAGAUUUAUGCAGGUUAUCGAAGGAGCAGUAAAAGCACUUGACCAUUUAACUUCCCUCGAUGUUAUUCUGGAUAAUUUAGGCAGACGACAUGGGAAACUUGAAGUUAAUGGAAAAUUCAGAUCAUAUUACUGGUCAGUAUUUCUCGAAUGUUCUAUUUAUUGCCUCCGUCACGCAUUUUCAAAAAGAAUGAACGACAAAGAAGUAGAUCACGUCAUUAUUCUAUGGCGAUACCUUCUUCGUGACGUUAUGAAAAAAAUUAAGGCCGGAACAACAGCAGACAUAGCUCACCGAUUGCAUCAAAUGAGUCUGGACGAUUCAAGAAAAUAUUCUCUUCCAGCUAUUCAACAUAAAGAAUCAAAUGCAUCAUCGGCAAAUACCGACUUUGACGAUAUUCUCUGA